GACGAACGCUGGCGGCGUGCCUAACACAUGCAAGUCGAACGAAGCUUGACGAAUGAUUUCUUCGGAAUGAAAUCUGAUAUGACUGAGUGGCGGACGGGUGAGUAACGCGUGAGCAACCUGCCCUUCGGAACGGGAUAGUGUCUGGAAACGGACAGUAAUACCGUAUAACGUAUUUUUACCGCAUGAUAGAAAUACCAAAACUGAGGUGCCGAAGGAUGGGCUCGCGUCUGAUUAGAUAGUUGGUGGGGUAACGGCCUACCAAGUCGACGAUCAGUAGCCGGACUGAGAGGUUGAACGGCCACAUUGGGACUGAGACACGGCCCAGACUCCUACGGGAGGCAGCAGUGGGGAAUAUUGCACAAUGGGGGAAACCCUGAUGCAGCAACGCCGCGUGAAGGAAGACGGUUUUUCGGAUUGUAAACUUCUGUUCUUAGUGAAGAAUAAUGACGGUAGCUAAGGAGCAAGCCACGGCUAAACUACGUGC
rnacentral:rRNA from 1 species